CCUACGGGAGGCAGCAGUGGGGAAUAUUGGACAAUGGGGGCAACCCUGAUCCAGCCAUGCCGCGUGUGUGAAGAAGGCCCUCGGGUUGUAAAGCACUUUCAGCGAGGAAGAACGCCUAGCGGUUAAUACCCGCUAGGAAAGACAUCACUCGCAGAAGAAGCACCGGCUAACUCCGUGCCAGCAGCCGCGGUAAUACGGAGGGUGCAAGCGUUAAUCGGAAUUACUGGGCGUAAAGCGCGCGUAGGUGGCUUGAUAAGCCGGUUGUGAAAGCCCCGGGCUCAACCUGGGAACGGCAUCCGGAACUGUCAAGCUAGAGUGCAGGAGAGGAAGGUAGAAUUCCCGGUGUAGCGGUGAAAUGCGUAGAGGUCGGGAGGAAUACCAGUGGCGAAGGCGGCCAUCUGGACUGACACUGACACUGAGGUGCGAAAGCGUGGGUAGCAAACAGGAUUAGAUACCCUGGUAGUCCACGCCGUAAACGAUGUCGACCAGCCGUUGGGUGCCUAGCGCACUUUGUGGCGAAGUUAACGCGAUAAGUCGACCGCCUGGGGAGUACGGCCGCAAGGUUAAAACUCAAAUGAAUUGACGGA
rnacentral:rRNA from 1 species